GACGAACCGUACAAACGUUAUUCGGAAUCACUGGGCUUAAAGGGUGCGUAGGCGGCGCGGAAAGUAGGGUGUGAAAUCCCUCGGCUCAACCGAGGAAUUGCGCCCUAAACUACCGUGCUCGAGGGAGAUAGAGGUGAGCGGAACUUAGGGUGGAGCGGUGAAAUGCGUUGAUAUCGCUUGGAACGCCGAAGGUGAAAACAGGCUGCUGGGGUUGCGCCGACGCUGAGACACGAAAGCCAGGGGAGCAAACGGG
rnacentral:rRNA from 1 species